GGNCNGCUAUACUGCAGUCGAGCGCUUGCCAAGAAAGCUUGCUUUCUUGUUGCUUGAGCGGCGGACGGGUGAGUAACACGUGGGCAACCUGCCUAUAAGACUGGGAUAACUUCGGGAAACCGGAGCUAAUACCGGAUAAUGCUUUUGAACACAUGUUCGAAAGCGGAAAGAUGGUUUCGGCUAUCACUUAUAGAUGGGCCCGCGGCGCAUUAGCUAGUUGGUGAGGUAACGGCUCACCAAGGCGACGAUGCGUAGCCGACCUGAGAGGGUGAUCGGCCACACUGGGACUGAGACACGGCCCAGACUCCUACGGGAGGCAGCAGUAGGGAAUCUUCCGCAAUGGACGAAAGUCUGACGGAGCAACGCCGCGUGAGUGAUGAAGGUUUUCGGAUCGUAAAACUCUGUUGUUAGGGAAGAACAAGUACCGGAGUAACUGCCGGUACCUUGACGGUACCUAACCAGAAAGCCACGGCUAACUACGUGCCAGCAGCCGCGGUAAUACGUAGGUGGCAAGCGUUGUCCGGAAUUAUUGGGCGUAAAGCGCGCGCAGGCGGUUCUUUAAGUCUGAUGUGAAAGCCCACGGCUCAACCGUGGAGGGUCAUUGGAAACUGGGGAACUUGAGUGCAGAAGAGAAGAGCGGAAUUCCACGUGUAGCGGUGAAAUGCGUAGAGAUGUGGAGGAACACCAGUGGCGAAGGCGGCUCUUUGGUCUGUAACUGACGCUGAGGCGCGAAAGCGUGGGGAGCAAACAGGAUUAGAUACCCUGGUAGUCCACGCCGUAAACGAUGAGUGCUAAGUGUUAGAGGGUUUCCGCCCUUUAGUGCUGCAGCAAACGCAUUAAGCACUCCGCCUGGGGGAGUACGGCCGCAAGNCUGAAACUCAAAGGAAUUGACGGGGGCCCGCACAAGCGGUGGAGCA
rnacentral:rRNA from 1 species